UACGAAAGGGGCUAGCGUUGUUCGGAAUUACUGGGCGUAAAGCGCACGUAGGCGGCCUUGUAAGAUGGGGGUGAAAUCCCCGGGCUCAACCCGGGAACUGCCUUCAUGACUGCAAAGCUCGAGGAUGUGAGAGGUUGGCGGAAUUCCGAGUGUAGAGGUGAAAUUCGUAGAUAUUCGGAAGAACACCAGUGGCGAAGGCGGCCAACUGGCACAUUUCUGACGCUGAGGUGCGAAAGCGUGGGGAGCAAACAGG
rnacentral:rRNA from 1 species